AAGUAUUAAGAAGGUGUAAUAGCUGUACCUUUUGUAUCAGGGGAGUUCAAGGGCGUAUAUAUUAAUUAAUCGAUUAAGUGGGGUCUUUCUAGGAUUAAGUUAAAAUAAAAUUAUUUAGUGUAAGUGCAUAUGAGGUGAUAUGCUUACGACUGCUUUGGUAUCUAAUUAAUUUUUUAGGUGAAAGUUUAAGUUUUCACGCACCCGCGUGGGGUUUUUUUCAUGGAAACUAGGCUUUAGAUUAGUUAAGUUUAUAUAUUGUUUUAAAGGAUUUCAGGUAAUAAAUGUUGUUAGCGGGGUUGAUGAAUUAAUUUGUGGUUUUUUUGUUUCAAGGUUAUAAUGGGUUUAUUGAAUAGGGUGCGGAGCUUAAAAAUAACUCAAAGUUGGUCUGAUAGUUUAUCAAAAACACCUCUAUGAGGUAAAAGGAAAGUAAAACCUGCCCAGUGAAAUUUUAUUUAACGGCCGCGGUAUUUUGACUGUGCUAAGGUAGCAUAAUCAAUUGUUUUUUAAUUGAAAGCUAGAAUGAAAGGUUAAACAGAUUAAGACGGUUUGUAUAGUUUAGCUAGUAAAUUAAAGUCAGGGUAAGAAUUCUUUGAUUUUCUAGGGGACGAUAAGACCCUAGAAGCUUUUAAAAAGAAAAAUUUUUAGUCAGGGUAUAAGUUUUUUUACUGGGGCGGUGUUAGUGUUUUAACUACUAAUGAUAAAGGUUGGUCCUUAAUAUAAAGAUAGUUCGGUGCAGUUACUCUAGGGGUAACAGUGCAGUAUUUUUGGAAAGGUCCUAUUGAUAAAAAUGUUCGCAACCUCGAUGUUGAAUUAAGAUAUCUACUUGGGGUAGCAGAUAUGGUAGAGGGUUUGUUCAACCUU
rnacentral:rRNA from 1 species